GAUGAACGCUGACAGAAUGCUUAACACAUGCAAGUCGACUCGAGUCUUCAGACUUGGGUGGCGCACGGGUGAGUAACGCGUGAAGAACUUGCCUCUUAGACCGGGACAACAUUUGGAAACGGAUGCUAAUACCGGAUAUUAUGGUUUCUUCGCAUGGGGGAAUCAUGAAAGCUACAUGCGCUAAGAGAGAGCUUUGCGUCCCAUUAGCUCGUUGGUGAGGUAACGGCCCACCAAGGCAACGAUCAGUAGCCGACCUGAGAGGGUGAUCGGCCACAUUGGGACUGAGACACGGCCCAA
rnacentral:rRNA from 1 species